rnacentral:rRNA from 1 species
UGAGGAAUAUUGGUCAAUGGGCGAGAGCCUGAACCAGCCAAGUAGCGUGCAGGAUGACGGCCCUAUGGGUUGUAAACUGCUUUUAUAUGGGAAUAAAGUGAGGGACGUGUCCCUUAUUGCAUGUACCAUACGAAUAAGGACCGACUAAUUCCGUGCCAGCAGCCGCGGUAAUACGGAAGGUCCAGGCGUUAUCCGGAUUUAUUGGGUUUAAAGGGAGCGUAGGCUGUUUGUUAAGCGUGUUGUGAAAUGUAAGAGCUCAACUUUUAGAUUGCAGCGCGAACUGGCAGACUUGAGUGCGCACAACGUAGGCGGAAUUCAUGGUGUAGCGGUGAAAUGCUUAGAUAUCAUGACGAACUCCGAUUGCGAAGGCAGCUUACGGGAGCGCAACUGACGCUAAAGCUCGAAGGUGCGGGUAUCGAACAGG